GCUGUUUCCCGCCUCGGCUUCACAAACAGGCGGUGAAGACAAGAUGGCGGCGGGCGCUUCAAAUGUUCCUGAAAACUCUGUACCAAAAACCUUCCGAAAACAGAAACUAAACCCGGUGAGAAACCGCCUCCUCCGGCCGCAGCGGUGUCUCCGUUAGAGCCGUUACAUCUACCGUUACCAUGCACGAGACCAGAGCCCGGACCAACCGCCUCCGCCGCAGCGUCAACAGACCGAGUCAGGCCGGUCCCAGGCUGCUCUCCCCCGGGGACAACUCCAGGCAGGAGCCGCACAGUACGGACCAAGGGCAGGAGACCCCGGUCCAGACGCCGACUCAGUCCAGGCUCAGCUUCACCACAGAAUCUCCUCAUAACGAUCCAGCCCGACUUUCAGGACAUCGUCUGGGACACGACCUCACCUACCACGCGCCUCGGAAGAACACCCCUCACCACAGUGCCCACCCUCACCACAGCGCCUCAAUAAAACCACCCUCACCACAGCACCUCAAUAAGAACCACCUCACCCUCACCACAGCCCUCUAAGAACCACCUCACUCACACAGCACCUCAAUAAGAACACCUCACCCUCACCACAGCACCUCAAUAAGAACACUCACCUCACACAGCGCCUCAUAAGAACCCCUCACCCUCACCACGCACCUCAAUAAGAACCACCCCUCACCACAGCGCCUAAUAAGAACACCUCACCCUCACCACAGCGCCU
rnacentral:lncRNA from 1 species